rnacentral:rRNA from 1 species
UACGGAAGGAGCAGUGGGGAAUAUUGCACAAUGGGCGCAAGCCUGAUGCAGCCAUGCCGCGUGUAUGAAGAAGGCCUUCGGGUUGUAAAGUACUUUCAGUCGUGAGGAAGGUGUUAAGGUUAAUAACCUUAGCAAUUGACGUUAGCGACAGAAGAAGCACCGGCUAACUCCGUGCCAGCAGCCGCGGUAAUACGGAGGGUGCGAGCGUUAAUCGGAAUUACUGGGCGUAAAGGGCACGCAGGCGGUUAAUUAAGUUGGAUGUGAAAUCCCCGGGCUUAACCUGGGAAUGGCAUUCAAGACUGGUUAGCUAGAGUCUUGUAGAGGGGGUAGAAUUCCAUGUGUAGCGGUGAAAUGCGUAGAGAUGUGGAGGAAUACCGGUGGCGAAGGCGGCCCCUGGGACAAAGACUGACGCUCAUGUGCGAAAGCGUGGGGAGCAAACAGGGAUUAGAUACC